UACGUAGGUGGCAAGCGUUGUCCGGAUUUACUGGGCGUAAAGAGCGCGCAGGCGGUCGAUUUAGUCGCGUGUGAAAGCCCCCGGCUCAACUGGGGAGGGUCACGCGAUACUGAUCGACUCGAAGGCAGGAGAGGGUAGUGGAAUUCCCGGUGUAGUGGUGAAAUGCGUAGAUAUCGGGAGGAACACCGGUGGCGAAGGCGGCAUCCUGGACCGGCAUUGACGCUGAGGCGCGAAAGCGUGGGGAGCAAACAGG
rnacentral:rRNA from 1 species